GCCAGGAGAGCAUGGGGGGUUCAUGCACUCGACUUGUAAUCGAGACUUCGUGGGUUCAAAUCCCACUCCUGGCU
rnacentral:tRNA from 1 species